CUCCUCCCGGACAGGCCCCUGAGCAUAGGCCUCCUCCGCGGUGGAAGUCCCAGGAAGGGGUGCAGGCCAGGGUCCCCGCGACCGCUCGUCCAGGCGUCUCCUGCUCCACCCUUUCCCCUCGGCUUCGGGUGCAGAGCCGGGACUCCCCUGAUGGACAGGGCCAGUCCCCCGCCAGUAGUUGGCUAGCCGUCCGCAUGUGAACAGAAUUGGGCAGUGAGAAGUGGAGGUCGGUUGGAGGCAAGUUCUGGGAACACUUUCCCGGUGAUGAUGGGUGGGUAGGGGUGCCUUCUCUUGGCGUUGACCAGUCAUCGUGGUGGAGCCGCGGUGGUGGACCACGGAGAGCCCCUGUAAGCUGGAACCACGCGUGCUUCUCGAGUAGUGUCCUAAGCUCCAUGGAGGCACUGCGCUUUCCUGUACACCGUCGUUGAAGGUUCAGUGCCAGUGAAGGGUGGUGGAGCGUCUGGGAGGUGAUCACGUGGAGGCGGACCUCUAGCAGCCUAAUGUCCAACGCAAAGCAGGAGCAAGCUUCGGUGAGUGGAACCAUGCUGAUCCAGCUUGUCACACGGUGGGAGAAACCGGGUUCCUAUGGAGCCACUGGAUAGUACAGGCUUCUGAGCAGAAAUGGAAUGUAUUUUUAUUGGCACAGCCAAGAUGAAGUAUGUCUUGAAAUCUGUUUUACAAAUAAACUCGCACAUAAAUUGUC